rnacentral:antisense_RNA from 1 species
GGCCCUGUGGUUAACGGUUGGGGGCUGCUGUUGACAAGGCCUGUUGCUGUGGCAGUUUUGCUCCGGAAGUGGCCAUUUUCUGUGCAGGGCUCCACCAGAGCACCAUCUGUCUGUACCUUCUACUUCCUGUCAAGCGGCAGCAGGCUUCGUGAGCUGGGGAAGUGCCGGAGGCAACCUUCGAGUUGGACAGACCUGGAACCAAACCCUUUCUCUUCCCCCAACCCGUUUUGGCAUCUUGGCACGAGACUGUCCCCAUUUCUAGAAAGGGUGUUCACAAGAACAGUCUGGCUGGGUUGUUGGGAUGACCAAGUGUGAUCAUGCAUCUCUGUGGCUGGCCAUGGUGUUUAUUCAAUGGCAGACAUUACCAGGAUGGAGCGAGUCCCAGUAGGAAGGGCCUUUAGGAUGUCAUCUGGUUCCGCCCAACAGGGAUGGGAACUGUAAUUCCCCACCCUCCCUGUGGAGAAUCAGGGCGGGCUCCGGAUGGAUGGCCAAAGGCUGCACAGAGCCCUUGUUCUUUAGCCACAGGUUGAAGAUGACAGUAGAUCUUAAGGAACCUCAGUUCUAUCCCGAAAUGUGAAAGCCUUUUUACUCAACCACAAAGAAGUGGUCAGCAGAAAACUGGUCAUCCCAGCCUCUGGGGCCACACACAGCACUCAGGAGGAGCUACUGUUUUCCCUGCCUAUUAACAUGCAGCCUGGGGCCUUGUGGGCUAUUUGAAAAUUAGGACACAAGAAGUCCAAGCAGCACCUGACUGGGAGCUCCAUGAGGUCCGAGACAACCAGAAGACUCCCAGCUCAGCAGAGACUGGCUAUGGCAAUCAGUAACUAUUUGUUGAAUAGGACAUAAUAGAAGAGCUGAAGAAUUUUAAACAAGUCACCACCAGUCCAGUGGAUUCCUCAAAGCAAACCUGUAAAUCUCGGCAUGAGUUGGAUUUAAGGCAGUACAUUUUCAGCUCCUGAAAAUUUGAACAGUUUCUCAAGAGAACAACUUGAAACAGAAAGGCAAGGAUGUAGAUGUGGUUGUAGAAGGUGAUGUCUAAGGCCACCAAACUGUCCACUGUGAAGAUAAACCGUGCAUGUUUAGUAGGAGGUGGCUCCCCUUCCC